CUGCAGUUGUAUGGUGGGCAGCGGCGGCGCGGCGGGGCCGGGAUGGGAUGCGGAGGCGGCGUCGGGGUUGAGCGACCGAACGAACUGAGUGCGAUUGCGUGCAUUGGGCUGUGCCUUUUCUCGGUCCGACCGAGCGGACCAGUCAAAGCCCGGACCGGACCGACGUUUUCUCGGGCCUAAUUUGACGGCCCGGACCGGCUGAUUUCUUUAUCGGGCCAGGACCGAGCGGGCCAAGACCGAGCGGGCCACGAGCGGGCCGAAAAGCCCGCUCGGUACGUCCACCCUGAGUCCCGCUGCUGCUCCUCGCCGGCCAUCGGGUGCGCGGAGGCGUCGACAUCGUUGAGUGGAUCGAGCGAGCGCCGUCGCCUUCGUCCGUUCCCCUUGCUAAACAGAUGUAGGAAUUGAUACGUACGGAUGAACUUAAAGAUCAGGAGAGACAUACUGGCCGGGACAAUCUUUAAACCAUGAAGCUACACAAUCUAUUGAAUCGGCCAAUAGGUGGAUAUCGUAAUUAGAAUCAGGGCAUUUCUAUGAAAGUCUAUAUAUCACAGUUAACUACAGGGAGAAAACAAAUGAGACAUUCCCAUUCACAAGUGUUUAUGCUGAACCCAGACUUUUCAGACCAUCAGACCAACCAGUUGCAAUCACGAACGAGCAGCAAAUGUUUGCACUGAACUACUGGGGUAAGGCAGUGAAAUACUUUUUGCUCGCGGGGGUGAAAGUUUGGAACAGAGAAAGAACAGACAACAAAGUAAUGAGGAUGGGGCAUUCGGUGAUCCAGCAUCUGUUCUACCAUCAGGGCUGAUGGCAUUCUUUGGCAAUACUAAGCCGCUUGAUAAAUCCAUGGCAUGAGAUGGGCCUUGGGUAUAAUCCAAGCAUCGAACCUGGGUGAUCCGUGGUGAUACAAUUUAAUGAAAACAUGAACCAUGGCUUGAUGUUGCUUUCAACCAGUACAAGGCUAUGUGGAGAAAGUAUGUAGAUACUGAAAAGGAAUUCCUGACACUAUGUAACUUUGGUCUCUCAAGUAAUUAAAGAAAUUCUCCAAGAAUAAGGCCACCAU